GGUGUCCCCUGAAAGUUUAAGCAGUGCCAAAAAUGGGUGAACGUAGAAAUAGAACAGAGAGAGAGAAGGAGAGGGAGGGAGGAAAAGGGCCUGAAAUCCCUCCAGAUUAGGAUCUAGCCUAUAUGCUUAUAGAGUUUGGAAAUAAUCCAAAAACGCAAAAGGACCCUGGGGCCAUUCUGGGAUUAAAGUAGCUGAAUUCAAAUAAAUCUCCAAAGUACUGAGGGCUUUCACACUCUGGAAGAGGACUGACACAUCAAUGAGUCUCCUCAUUUACAAAAAAAACCCUUUUAUGAGCUUCAGAGAGAGUGGGAGAGAGAUGGAGGAGAGCGAUGGAGGAGAGCGAUGUGGGGAGAGCGUGAGGGAGAGAGAGAGAGAGAGAGAGAGAGAGAAAAAGAGGAAGAGAGAGCUGGAGAGGUUAGUAGGAUGGGAAGAGCAAUCUGGUAAAGGUACACUUCAAAAGAAGGGUAGGUAAGGAGAGACACAGAUCAAUAGAUACAGAUAGACAGGUCAUGUUGAUAUAAUAAAAGAUAGAGAUAAAGAAAGGGGGAGAGAGUGAAAGAGAAAGAGAAAGAGAGGGGGGCUGAGACAAUAACAUGCGUAUCAGCCAUUUCUGCUCCAUCUUGACAAUGCAUGCUAGAGACUCGUUCUAAUUAAGCCAAAUUACUCUCGGAGCCAGAGCCCUGCUCCGGAAUAUUCCCUGUGUACACCUUCGCCGUUCUGGUUGGCCUCACAAAAUAUCCUCAAUUAUUUCUCCAGUCAACCUCCUUAAUGAUUUUUAUCUCAGCAACUGUAAGGAAAACGAAAGGGGGGUGCGCGGGUGAGGUUCGUCUGGCGAAUGCUUACUGUUGCAAAACCUAAUUUAAUGUGUCCUUUGUUCUGCUUGUGUAGUCAGGCCAGUGGACGUUUAAUGUGGAUAUUAGUAUGAAGUGGCCAGUGAAAUGUGGGUCUGCCCAGGCAAACAGAGUGAAAUGGAACAAAAGAAAACCCUGUGUUUGUGUAUGAGAGUGAGAGCGAGGAGGAGGGAGGAUCUACGCCGUCUAAUUACACCAAAGCGUUUCGGUCCCUGCCUGAGUGACAGCGCUCUCCUCCAAUCUAAGGCUGACAACAGCCAGGAAGCUAAGCAGGAAGCAGAACGAGGGAGGGACGAUGGGAGAGACAGAAAGGGAGGAGGGGGAGAAUGAAGAAGAGGAGAGAGAGAGAGACACAGAGAGCGAGAGAGAGAGAGAGAGCGAGCCAAUAGUCGUUAGCACUCAUUUACAACUGUUGAGGUGAAAUGAACAUUUCGGUUGACUGUGCUUAAACAACUGCAAGUCCCACAAUGCACCACUAGCAGGUCAGUGCAGCCUGCUCAUUAUUUUAAGUGGGAACACCUGAGAAGGAAAGGAGGUCUCUCAGUAAACACUCCAGCAAACAUUUCAGCAGAGAGAGACACACACGAAAAGGAUCUACUCGUGGUGCAACCAAAGAAGCCACUGGUUUUCAACCUAAAUGAGCCAACCAGUAAAAGAAAUAAAAGAAUCAUUCUGAGUUGGAACGAGUUGUCCCGUGCGUCCUUUGGGAUUAGUGCACCAGGCCGUUUCAAGUUGGGCCAGAGAGUAGACAAAAAACACCUGAGAACUUGACAACAACCACUACCUUUUUUUUCAGCUAUUUCCAAAAAGGUAGAGCAAAUAGUCUUCGGUUAAUUUGACAUAGCUACGGUGGAGAGUGGCUAGGCUAAGCAAAACUGGACAGAGUUCAGCGACUGAUAGAGAGGUAACAGAGUGUUGGAGAAAUCAGCAAAACUUUCCCAUGGUUCACGUGACUCAGGGCUGACACGUCUCCCUGAUAGUUUCCUCAUGGGGAUGUUGGAUGAUGCCUUCUUUCACCCCAGAAUGACAACCAGCCAUAAGAGAAGCAGUACUCUAAUGGGGGCUGACAUAUGUCAAAUACAUUGCACCUAUAUCAACGAACGCCCCAUUUAGAUUCAGCGUAUUAACAUGGCAUGCUUACAUCGUCGUGUUUGUGUGUUGGGACAAAGGGGAUUCUGCUUCACCUGCCUGACGUGUGUGUGUGUGUGGGUGUUUACAGCACGUUUGUGAUUCAGCCCCUCCGGGGGCCAUUUAGACGGAGGUGACAAGAUCAAGUUGGAGGCACGGCGAAGAGAGACGUGUGCACUGGGUGCAGCAGCGUCGCUUCCAGCCCCGAGUGGCUGUCUGUCAUCCUCUCAGGGUUCAGGAGGCGAAGCGCUCGCAAGACGUCCAGAGGAGGAUACUGGGCGUGGAGGCUGGGCCUCUGAAAUUGUACCUGAAACGUGUGAUCGUCACUUGUGUGAAUGAGCAAUGAACGUAUCCUGAUGAAGGGGAGAUUUCGAAGCUGGAGAGGUUCUCACAUUGAGACAUAUUACUCUCAAUUGGAGCUAGAUAGGAGAGCAAGGAUCCCAGCAAAGAGCACUAACCUUUAUACCUCCCUACUUUUCCCCCAUAAGGGAUUGUGUGCUUUUCUGAAACUAGAGCUUUUUAUGAGAUGCCUGUUUGAAUACAGACGUGUUGUGCAUAGUGUCUAACAAAUAAACAAAUAAUAAAAUAACAAAAAUUUCAAUACCACAAGCUGGUGAUAUGGUUUUCCCCUCUUGAACACCACCUUCCAAUCCGUACCUCAUAUAGGAAGCUCAAUAUCAGGGUGACGGGGGACAGGGCGUGUGCUGUAUGUACACUGGACAUGACACUCACCGGUAGGCUGGAGGGGCGGUCCUGCUGCAAGGGGCCCAGAUCUUCAUGGCUGGACUUCCCAGAGUUCCCAACAGGCUGGCUGCUGCUACUACUGCUGCUGCUGCUGCUGCUGCCGCCACCGCUGCCUCCUCCUCUGCUGUUCCCAUAAGCCUCCUGCGAGACCUCCUACAGCCAGGGAGAGAAGAGAAGGAGAGUAGAGACGGGGGAAAAGAAAGGGAAGGAAAGAAUGAGAGAAGAGUUUGAAGUUGUUUUGGUUCCCUGUUUCUCUGACAAAUGUACCGUGCGUGCAGGCGAGCAUCCUUUGUAUAGCUCAGUUUGCACUGGAUACACUUGAAUGAACUGAGCUCUCUGCUAAAAAGGAAAAAAGGGCAGUGACCCCUUUUCACUGCUGAUGAGGUCCGGACUUAAAGACAAAAAAUUGACAGAUUUACACCUGAGCUCUGUGCUCCUCCAUACACACAUGAGAGUAUGUGCACACACGCGCACAAACACACACACACACACACUUUUGGCAAGUCAUCAACCGUUCACCAAAUAUCACCUGCUAUAUCUGCACACACACACUCCCUCUUCCGGUCUGGCUUCAACUAGCUGAGGUCAAAGGCCACACCCUUGCGCCGGGUCACCCAUUGGACACUUCCAGCCGCCUCCUCCAGCUGAACCAUCAGGGAAAGAACCCCCUCGCUCACUUGAGGCUCGAGGAGCUCCUCUGAGACAGCGUUUGAAGGCUUUUGGGGGGGGGCUGGGCACUUUCUUUUUAAACUCCCCAUUAGUCUCACUGGGCUAAACGACACUGACAGAGCAGAGGCGGGAAACUCAUUGGGCUUAAUUAUAUUAGCCGCCUCUCUGCCACCUCUCCAAAGUCAGAUGCCACAGGGCAGAGAGGAGAGAGGAGCAACAAAAGCCCUUAACAGCGGCUUCACUGUAUGCUGCAUGUUAGAUUACUCAAGUCGGUUCAAAGGGAGGGUGCUGGCGGGAUGAAACAGCCAGCGAGCAUGCCGACGCACACACACACACACACACACAACUUAGACAGUGACCACAGCUGUGUGUGCGAGGUUAAAGGGCAGCAGAGCGGAGGGCCUAACCAGCAGAGGGGCACUGCAUAGCCCCAGGGAGUUCUCUUUGGAUACGCCAGUUGUCCCUCCGCAUAAGUCUCUCACAGGCUCCCUGUUUUCCUUUUCUCUUUCUCUCUGUCACACAUACACACACACACACACA